AGUGAACGCUGGCGGUAGGCCUAACACAUGCAAGUCGAACGGCAGCACAGUAAGAGCUUGCUCUUACGGGUGGCGAGUGGCGGACGGGUGAGGAAUACAUCGGAAUCUACUUUUUCGUGGGGGAUAACGUAGGGAAACUUACGCUAAUACCGCAUACGACCUACGGGUGAAAGCAGGGGAUCUUCGGACCUUGCGCGAUUGAAUGAGCCGAUGUCGGAUUAGCUAGUUGGUGGGGUAAAGGCCCACCAAGGCGACGAUCCGUAGCUGGUCUGAGAGGAUGAUCAGCCACACUGGAACUGAGACACGGUCCAGACUCCUACGGGAGGCAGCAGUGGGGAUUAUUGGACAAUGGGCGCAAGCCUGAUCCAGCCAUACCGCGUGGGUGAAGAAGGCCUUCGGGUUGUAAAGCCCUUUUGUUGGGAAAGAAAAGCAGCAGGUUAAUACCCCGCUGUUCUGACGGUACCCAAAGAAUAAGCACCGGCUAACUUCGUG
rnacentral:rRNA from 1 species